rnacentral:tRNA from 1 species
GCCCGGCUAGUUCAGUCGGUAGUACAUGUGACUCUUAAUCUCAGGGUCGUGGGUUCGAGCUCCACAUUGGGUG